GCACUCGACGGCAGUACACAUUCUAAAAUUGGUUCGAUACAGAGAAGGUUAGCAUUGGCCCCGCGCAGGGUUGACAUGCAACUCGUGAAGCGAACUACUACUAC